rnacentral:lncRNA from 1 species
UGAUAUCGCUGUCUGGCAUAAAGAUCUCAGGAAUGAGGAAUGUUGAAAAGCGCUCUUUCUGUUCCUUUGAAGGCCAGUCUUGUCUGAGUAGCUGCACGGCACACACAGUGCGUCUUACACAGGCAACCCGGGCUUGAAAUACUAACGAUUAGUGUCCUUGCCUGCAAGUGUGACAUGAUUCUCGCACCCAUUUGAGAUUGUCUUGACCAGAAGGGGAAGCGAUGUGUAGCUUGUAGUAGUCAUACCAACUGUCACUUUCGUCAUCCCUUUCGUUGUCUCUACACCUCACCGUUAAACCCAGUCGAGCUCUCUGCUGGCUCCUAUUCUUGCAAGAUCCUCCGAUACCACAAGCAGGCGUCAGCAACCGACACAAGUGAGAACACAUGCCAUCUGCAGUGAAACUCCAGGUGCCGUUGGACAUUGAUUUCUCACAUUGUUGUCUGAGAACACAAAGUGCAAGGUUCCUUGGGGUACAAUAUUCUUAGUUUCAGCAUUCAUCCUUCGAAAGCAUGAUCAUC